rnacentral:rRNA from 1 species
CGCAAUGGGCGAAAGCCUGACGCAGCAACGCCGCGUGGAGGAUGAAGGCCUUCGGGUCGUAAACUCCUGGUCAGGGGGGACGAAACCGGGAACCGGGUGACCGUACCCCCGGAGGAAGCCACGGCUAACUCCGUGCCAGCAGCCGCGGUAAUACGGAGGUGGCAAGCGUUGUUCGGAAUUACUGGGCGUAAAGGGCGCGUAGGCGGCAUGGCAAGUCAGGUGUGAAAGCCCCGGGCUUAACUCGGGAACUGCAUCUGAAACUGCUUUGCUUGAGUCCUGGAGGGGGUAGUGGAAUUCCCAGUGUAGCGGUGAAAUGCGUAGAUAUUGGGAGGAACACCGGUGGCGAAGGCGGCUACCUGGACAGUGACUGACGCUGAGGCGCGAAAGCUAGGGGAGCGAACGGGAUUAGAUACCCCGGUAGUCCUAGCUGUAAACGAUGGGCACUUGGUGUCGGGGGUAUUGAGUCCCUCGGUGCCGGAGUUAACACGUUAAGUGCCCCGCUUGGGGAGUACGGUCGCAAGACUG